AGAGUUUGAUCAUGGCUCAGGGUGAACGCUGGCGAUGUGCCUAAGACAUGCAAGUCGAACGGGGUGAGUAGGUAGCACAGAGUUCCGAUAUUUAUCAUCGGAAUUGUGUGCUAUCUACCUAUUCAGUGGCGAACGGGUGAGUAUAAAACAUGAACGUCCUCUCAAGCGGAGUAUAGCCACGCGAAAGCGUGGGUAAUCCUCCAUAAUGCCUCCGGGCUAAAGACGCAAGUCACUUGAAAAUCGGCGUGUUUACUACCAGCUAGUUGGUGAGGUAAUGGCUCACCAAGGCUAUGACGGUUACCGGCUCUUAGCGGAGAGUCCGGCACAAUGGGACUGAGACACGGCCCAUACUUCUACGGAAGGCAGCAGUUAGGAAUUUUGCGCAAUGGACGAAAGUCUGACGCAGCGACAUCGCGUGAGGGAUGAAGGUCUUCGGAUCGUAAACCUCUUUUUGGGGGCCAUGAAGGCCGCCAGAAUAAGGAACUACUAACUACGUGCCAGCAGUCGCGGUAAUACGUAGGUUCCAAGCGUUACCCGGUUUUAUUGGGCGUAAAGGGUCUGUAGGUGGUUUUCUAAGUCUUGUUUUAAAGCCUCCAACUCAAUUGGAGAUCAGGGCAGGAUACUGGGAAACUAGAAUUAUAUCGGGGUUACUGGAAUUUGUCGUGUAGGGGUAAAAUCCGUGGAUACGACAAAGAACACCAAGAGCGAAGGCGGGUAACCAGGUAUUAAUUGACACUCAUAGACGAAAGCUAGGGGAGCAAAUCAGAUUAGAGACCUGAGUAGUCCUAGCUGUAAACAUUGCCUGUUAGUUCUGUGGCAUCUGCUGCGGAAUGUAAGCUAACGCGUUAAACAGGCCGCCUGGGGAGUAUAGCCGUA
rnacentral:rRNA from 1 species